GACGAACGCUGGCGGCGUGCUUAACACAUGCAAGUCGAACGGAAAGGCCCUGCUUUUGUGGGGUGCUCGAGUGGCGAACGGGUGAGUAACACGUGAGUAACCUGCCCUUGACUUUGGGAUAACUUCAGGAAACUGGGGCUAAUAACGGAUAGGAGCUCCUGCUGCAUGGUGGGGGUUGGAAAGUUUCGGCGGUUGGGGAUGGACUCGCGGCUUAUCAGCUUGUUGGUGGGGUAGUGGCUUACCAGGGCUUUGACGGGUAGCCGGCCUGAGAGGGUGACCGGCCACAUUGGGACUGAGAUACGGCCCAGACUCCUACGGGAGGCAGCAGUGGGGAAUAUUGCACAAUGGGCGGAAGCCUGAUGCAGCAACGCCGCGUGCGGGAUGACGGCCUUCGGGUUGUAAACCGCUUUCGCCUGUGACGAAGCGUGAGUGACGGUAAUGGGUAAAGAAGCACCGGCUAACUACGUG
rnacentral:rRNA from 1 species